GGCUGGUUAGCUCAGUGGGUUGAGCGCAGUGCUGCCAACAGUGACAACACUGGGGUCGCGGGUUCGAUUCCCGCUUGGUCCU
rfam:Apaloderma vittatum contig75045, whole genome shotgun sequence.